UCUCUCUCCUCAUGAUGGAAAUAUUCCACCGUCCCAUCUUCUUUCUCCCAUGGACUCAUUUUUCUCUCUCCUCGCAUGGAAACUAUUCCACCGAGCCUUCAUAUCUCCAUUCUCUCUCGGUUCCCACCCAAGGAUAACAAUGCAACCGUCUCUCUCAAACUGAUGCAAACAAGUUAGGGCAUGGAUCUAGCGUGGUCAAGGGGAUUACUGCCUCAAAUUUAUUUUCAUCUUCAGAUCAGGAGAUCUUGAUUUACCCAACGGAAAGGAAUUCCAUGGUCUCUCUCAAACUGAUUGAAACAAGUUAGGGCAUGGAUCUGGCAUGGUCAACCGGUGAAUCGUUCUCAUUGGCAAGCACACGAAAAGAUUUGAUCGGGCGCUCUCUCAGUUUGAGUUUCUGUUUGGCAUGCACCUCUGUACGCUAUUUGCCUACAGGGCAUGAAGUUGUCGAUCGAGGAACAACUAAUGCACAUGGUACGAGUACAAAAAAG